CCUACGGGGGGCAGCAGUGAGGAAUAUUGGUCAAUGGACGAGAGUCUGAACCAGCCAAGUAGCGUGAAGGAUGACUGCCCUAUGGGUUGUAAACUUCUUUUAUAAAGGAAUAAAACGAGGCACGUGUGCCUUUUUGCAUGUACUUUAUGAAUAAGGAUCGGCUAACUCCGUGCCAGCAGCCGCGGUAAUACGGAGGAUCCGAGCGUUAUCCGGAUUUAUUGGGUUUAAAGGGAGCGUAGAUGGGUUGUUAAGUCAGUUGUGAAAGUUUGCGGCUCAACCGUAAAAUUGCAAUUGAUACUGGCAGUCUUGAGUACAGUUGAGGUAAGCGGAAUUCGUGGUGUAGCGGUGAAAUGCUUAGAUAUCACGAAGAACCCCGAUUGCGAAGGCAGCUUACUAAACUGUGACUGACAUUGAUGCUCGAAAGCGUGGGUAGCAAACAGGAUUAGAUACCCUAGUAGUC
rnacentral:rRNA from 1 species